rnacentral:rRNA from 1 species
UCCCAGACUCCUACGGGAGGCAGCAGUGAGGAAUAUUGGUCAAUGGGCGGAAGCCUGAACCAGCCAAGUCGCGUGAGGGAAGAAGGCCCUGCGGGUCGCAGACCUCUUUGGACGGGGAGCAAGGCCGCCGACGUGUCGGCGGAAGGAGAGUACCCGUAGAACAAGCAUCGGCUAACUACGUGCCAGCAGCCGCGGUAAUACGUAGGGGGCAAGCGUUAUCCGGAAUUACUGGGUGUAAAGGGAGCGUAGACGGUGAAGUAAGUCUGGAGUGAAAGGCGGGGGCCCAACCCCCGGACUGCUCUGGAAACUAUUUGACUGGAGUGCAGGAGAGGUAAGCGGAAUUCCUAGUGUAGCGGUGAAAUGCGUAGAUAUUAGGAGGAACACCAGUGGCGAAGGCGGCUUACUGGACUGUAACUGACGUUGAGGCUCGAAAGCGUGGGGAGCAAACAGGAUUAGAUACCCCCGUA